rnacentral:rRNA from 1 species
GCGACGCGGGCGGUUCGCCGCCCGUGACUCUGCGAGAAGUCCAUUGAACCUUAUCAUUUAGAGGAAGGAGAAGUCGUAACAAGGUUUCCGUAGGUGAACCUGCGGAAGGAUCAUUGUCGAGACCGAAAUGUAUUGAGCGAUUCAGAAAACCCGUGAAAUGAGUGGCGACAGUUCCUGUCGUAGAACAACCAUCCCAGUCGUUAUCUCGUCUCUUUUGGGAGGAGGCCAUGAUGAAGGAUGGACGAAAUUUCAAAUCGGCGCAGCUUCGCGCCAAGGAAAUGCUGAAACACGAGCUCAGUAAUGGGUUCGGUGGCAUGGAGUGCUGUGUUGGCACACCGUGUGGAUUAAAAUGACUCUCGGCAAUGGAUAUCUCGGCUCUCGCAUCGAUGAAGAGCGCAGCGAAAUGCGAUACGUGGUGCGAAUUGCAGAAUCCCGCGAACCAUCGAGUCUUUGAACGCAAGUUGCGCCCGAGGCCAGCCGGCCAAGGGCACGUCUGCCUGGGCGUCAAGCGUUGCGUCGCUCCGUGCCAACUUCAUCCCACAAAUGUGUGUGUCGGUUGAGGCCCGGAUGCGCAGAGUGGCUCGUCGUACCCAUCAGUGCGGCGGGUUGAAGAGUGGGGUUAUCGUCUCGUUGGCCAACAACAACAAGGGGUGGAUGAAAGCUGUGAGCAGAAAGCCUAUGUUGUUUCUUGCUUGGCUUGAGAGAAGAGUACGUAUCCCAGGUGAUCCUGACCCAUGCGUCGAUACACAGGCGACGGCUUGGAUUGCGACCCCAGGAUGGGCGAGGCCACCCGCCGAGUUUAAGCAUAUCAAUAACCGGAGGAGAAGCAAACUUAC